UGGUGACAUCCUGUUGCACAGAGAGUCCCCAAAAUAACACUUUCUGAAUUUCAGAACAACUUCAGGCUUCGCUCUCUAACUUUUGAUUUUGUUGUUUUGAACUGGUUUGGGGACAAGUAAUUUUCACGGGGAAUCCCUUUCUGUCAAGCAAAGGAAGGACUCAUUUUAAUAUUCUUAAAGCUCGAGGUAAAGAAGCUGAACAGUUCAGCGGGUCACCGUCAAACAGGAGACAAGCACAAGACUGAUGAUACUACAAACAUUUGGAAGAAGCCCAACAGGCAAGAUUAGGGCUGGCCAGGUCCUGAAAUAUGCUAUAUGUGUGUAUACAACCUGCAGGUUGGAAACUUCCUCAAGCACUGACCCUCUCCUAGAACCUCUCUCCAGCCAGGUUCCAGGCCCUCCACUCUGUAGAACUGCCCUUGCCAAGAUCACGAGCAACUCCAAAUCCCAGUUGACAGAGGAAGAGGUUUCAUCUUGCUUCUCUUGGAAACCCCCUCAGACACUGGCUUCCAGGUUAAGUACCACUGUGAUUUGCUCCUUCCUUCCUGGCCUUAUCUCCGUAUUCUUUUACACUUCUUUCCACACCACUCACAUCCUGGUUCUCAGGACCUCUGGGUGCUCAGAACUUGGCUCUCCACUUUUUCUCCUACAGUGCAGUAUUUCUCAUGUGGUUUAUUGUAAUCUGUUCUCAACUAGACUUUCUACAGUCAGACCUUGGUACCCUACAGAGAUGGUCUUCCUGUGUCUCCAGUCAUUAUAACCACACCAGCCCUGAUUUGGAGCCCCACAGCAGUAAUGGAUAGGAUUCCAGCAGAAUCACUGUGUACAGUUGUGCAGUUUGUGUACUACAGAAAGACACUUGAUAAAGGGGACAAGUGAAGAUGAAAUCCAGCUUGUGCUCUGCUCACCAGGAUGAGUGCCUUUCUGACACUGUUCUCUGAACACCUGGAAGAAAAUGUGCUUUUUCUUUGCACAGAGGAACAUCUCCCAGCCCAAACCACAGGCAUGCUUCUGCCCAGAGAAGCAUCAUACUUUUAAAUCUUUUUCACAAAGAGUCUAUAGACUAGCUAAUGGCUUGAGUCUAAGAUCUACCCCAAUUCAGAAUCUUUUCCUCCAUCACCUCAGUUUAUCCCAUAUCUCUUGUUUUUCCCUUAUCUCAUACAUUCUUCUCUUGAUAAACAUUACCUUAUGCUCCCCUCCCUCCCAUUCAUCCAAUCCUCCCCUCCCCUUCUCUGGUAUACCUUCUAAGUCAGUGCUGUACAGUGGAACUUUCUGCGAUGAUGGAGCUGUUUUACAUCUGUGCUGUCCAAUACAUUAGCCACUAGCCGUGUAUGUCCUUUGCAUGCUUGAAAUGUGGCUACUGUGACAGAGGAACUGAAUUAUUAAUUCUAUUUUAAUUUUAAUUUUUUAUGUAGUGCGUGUGGCGAGUGGCUAUUGCAUUGGACAGUAUGAGUUGAAGUUUUAACCUAUGUCAAAUCCAUAGCAGUAGAACUCUUGAGCUCUCCCACCACCUUCAUGUGGGAUACUGUCUCAAGCCCUUGCGGCAUCCCCUGACUAAUUGGAAAAGAGCCAGAGAAUUCUUCCCACUGAAAUACACUGCUUCUGAGUCUAUUGCAUUUAUCACCAUAAAAUAUGCAUGUAUCUUUUCUUUUACUCAUAAAGUUAAAGGGUCUUGAAAAAUGUCUUUAAUUUAUGAAGCUCUUCAAUGUCUAUAUACUUUGAUGCCUUCCUUUGUUGAAGGUUUUCUGUUGAAAACAUUAUGCUCCUAGAAAAGAGAAGAGUUAUAUAACAAUACUUGGCAAUAAAUACAAGACCAUAGUUAAUGGGUUAACCCAUGCCAUCUUUUUAUGUUUGCAGUUACCACAUUUAAAGUAUGAAAAGGGGAGAAGAGAAGAAACAAUAACAUCCAAAGAAAUGAAGAGUUUAAGUAAAAGAGUCAGCAUGGGGUGAGGCAGAGGCUGUGGGUUGUUGGCCUCAAGACACUGGAGCUCUAAGCACAUCGCCACCAAUAAGCCAUGACAUCGCCAUGGCACUUACUCUUUCAGGACCUUGCCUUUUGCCUUCAUAGAAUGCAGGCCUUUGGCCAGACAUUCUAAUUUAAGGUGUUUUCAAGGUUUAAGUACUCCUGGGGACAAAAGUAGUCAAGGAAUAGCUAAGACGGUUGAAACAAACUUUCAUCACUCAGAAGAGUUCACAGAAUCCUAUCCCCAUCCCCAACUAGUAAUGCUUGUGAUGAACACACCAACUGUUGAAGACCAAAACAAGUAUUUUAAGAACAAACAAAAGCCAGUUUAGAGUGAGUCAUUGGCCCUGACUAUAGUGGCUAAAGUAACCACAAAAGUUUGUGAAUAGUCUAUAGGGCGUCCUCAAAACAUUUGUGCAAACCUUUUAUUUCCAGUGCUUUGAACAGAAAUAAACACAACCCUUAAGCUAGAUUCUACAUUCCAUGAAACAAAUGAAAAGCUAAAGUGUAAGCAUGGAUUCCCUGGCUUAAUAUCUCUUUCCAGCAUGCCCAUCCCAUGUGAGCAGUCAGUAAACCGCCCAGUCUGUUAUAUAAGCAGAAGGAAAUCUCUGCAUAUAAAAAAGGAUGGGUUGUGCUAAAGUAAAAUCUGGUGCUCUGGAACUAUUAAUGUGCCCAUAAUUACCACUUAGUCUUCCAAACUAAAUGAUGUGCUAAUGGCAACUAAAAUGUGACAUGCCCCGAGUGAAAUAAUUGAUUCAUAACUUGAAAGGUUCUGAGUAGAUUGUCUUCAACCGAGUGCCUAAAUAAUUUUCUUUUCUCUCCCUAACCUUGCUUCUGCUAUCACACCUGUAACACAGGAAUAGAGUUGUUGUAAAGACUAAAUGAAUUAGGGCAGUUCCCUGGGUAGAUACUGUCAUAGCACUGAAAAUCCUUCCGUCAGCGUCGAGGGCAACAUAGCAAUGAGGCAUUUGUUUAUCUCAUCGUUUGACUACUGCUUCUCUUGUUAGACUGUAAAUUCCUUGAGGGCAGGGAUUACGUCAACUUUCAUCAGUCUUGUAUCACUGCCUCCUAUAUAUCAGAGCCUGGCAUGUAGCAGGUAUUCAAUAAAAACCUUUUGAAUGAAACAUUUAACACAUUUGCUGUCACUGGAGCCAGACACCCUGGGUUUGAUUGCUGUGUGCUCAGACAAGAGAUUUUUUUACCCAAUGCCUUUGUUUCCUCUUCUGUGUAGGAAGGACAAUAACGGUAUCUACCUGACUGAAUAGUUGUGAGAAUUAAGUGGGAUCACACGUACAAAGAGCUUAGACCACUGUCUGCUACAUACUGAGCACAUGAAAAUUGUUAAUGAAUUUUGACGACGAUGAUGGUGGUUAUGUAGUAAGCACUUCAGACACAAUAGCUGCUCUUAAGGUUAUUUAUUCUCAUUACUGAAGGAAUAUGUGUCCUUCGAAGAAUCAGUUACACAGAGGCCCUCAGGUACAUAUAACACAAGACCACGGUUGUAUCUUUAUAUGCUAAGCCAGGCAGAGACUACAAGCAAAAGCAGGUGUCAAAGAAGGCACUGAAAUGAUGUUCACAGUGGGACUUGGGUCUCCACGACCAAGGAAAAAUUACCAACUGCUUUCCCACCUCCCUAAUUUCAUCUCCCUCUUAACUCCUGGUACCCUCCACUCAUCCCUGUGUGGUCCUAUGGUUCAUAUGUCAGUGUUCCCUGAAAGACUUCAGCUUGCAAAUCGGCCACAGCAUCUGUCUCUACCCAUUAUGGUCAAAAGAUGGUUUUAAAAGGCAAAAGUUUUUACAAUAUGAAGAGAAAUCAGAGUAUAAAUGGGACUGUGGCUGAAAGGGGUAGUCUGGGGAUGUAAAUGUCAACUGAAAUAAAGCUGGAGAACAAUCUAGUGACUGAAUAACAUAGUGAACCUGUAGGCGGAUGAGGAUUGUGGUUAUUAAUACAAACACGAGAAUGUUCUUCUAUGAACUAGAACAAAUGUACGUCACUAUUGCAAGGUGGCAAGAAUACAGUGACGCAUGGGGAAAAUACAGUUAAUGUAACUUAUGGCCUAUAGUUAACAACAAUAUUGCAAUAUUCUUGCAUCUAAGUCAAAGAAGGUAUUGUGUCAAUGCUAAGGGUCAAUAAUAGGGGGUAAUGAAAUUUUUUCUUUUGGACUAAGGAAAAACAUUCAAAGGUUUACUGGGGCAAUGACUGCACAACUCUGUGAUGAAAGUGAGAGCCACUGAGGGUACACUUUGGGCAGAAUGUACCAAGUAUGGGACCAUAGAACACAGUGAACCACGUGGUGGAAGAUGGACUGUGGUUAAUGGUAUAAAUAUGAGAGUGUUCUCUCAUGAACUAUAACAAAUGUACAAUACUAAUACAUACUACUAAUAAUAGGGCGUGUAUGGAAAAAAUAUGCCAAAUGUAUCCUAUGAAUAAUAGUGGUAAUAGUCUGAUCGUGUUCUUUCAUAAUCUAUAACAAACGUUCCAUAACAAUGUAUUGUGUUGGUGGAGGAGUGACAUAUGGAAAUUCACAUUAUGCAUGUAAGCUCACAACUUCUCUAACAAAAAAAAAAAAUUUAAAAUAAAGAUCGUUUUAAGAGAAAAGACUGGAGGUU
rnacentral:lncRNA from 1 species